ensembl:lncRNA
GGAUGAUGCUGUAGUGUGUUGGGACAGGUACUGCUAUAACAGGGGAUGAUGAUGUAGUGUGUUGGGACAGGUACUGCUAUAACAGGGAAUGAUGCCCCAGUGUGUUGGGACAGGUACUGCUACAACAGGGGAUGAUGCUGUAGUGUGUUGGGACAGGUACUGCUAUCACAGGGGAUGAUGCUGUAGUGUUUUGGGACAGGUACUGCUAUCACAGGGAUCGAUGCUGUAGUGUGUUGGGACAGGUACUGCUAUAACAGGGAUCGAUGCUCUAGUGUUUUGGGACAGGUACUGCUAUCACAGGGAUCGAUGCUGUAGUGUGUUGGGACAGGUACUGCUAUAACAGGGGAUGAUGAUGUAGUGUGUUGGGACAGGUACUGCUAUAACACAGGAGAUGAUGCUCUAGUGUGUUGGGACAGAUACUGAUAUAACAGGGGAUGAUGCUGUAGUGUGUUGGGACAG